GCAGUCGAGCGAGAAGUGUAGCAAUACACUUGUAAAGCGGCGAACGGGUGAGGAAUACAUGGGUAAUCUACCAUCGAGUGGGGAAUAACCAGCCGAAAGGUUGGCUAAUACCGCGUACGCCUCCGGAUCUUCGGGUUCGGAGGGAAAGCCGCGCUGUGAGUGCGGCGCUCUUUGAUGAGCUCAUGUCCUAUCAGCUUGUUGGUAGGGUAACGGCCUACCAAGGCUUUGACGGGUAGCUGGUCUGAGAGGACGAUCAGCCACACUGGCACUGCGACACGGGCCAGACUCCUACGGGAGGCAGCAGUAAGGAAUAUUGCGCAAUGGGCGAAAGCCUGACGCAGCGACGCCGCGUGGGGGAUGAAGGUCUUCGGAUUGUAAACCCCUUUCGGGAGGGAAGAUGGAGCGAGCAAUCGUUCGGACGGUACCUCCAGAAGCAGCCACGGCCAACUUCGUGCCAGCAGCCGCGGUAAUACGAAGGUGGCAAGCGUUGUUCGGAUUCACUGGGCGUACAGGGUGUGUAGGCGGUUUGGUAAGCCUUCUGUUAAAGCUUCGGGCCCAACCCGGAAAGCGCAGAGGGUACUGCCAGGCUAGAGGGUGGGAGAGGAGCGCGGAAUUCCCGGUGUAGUGGUGAAAUGCGUAGAGAUCGGGAGGAAGGCCGGUGGUGAAGGCGGUGCUCUGGAACAUACCUGACGCUGAGACACGAAAGCGUGGGGAGCAAACAGGAUUAGAUACCCUGGUAGUCCACGCCCUAAACUAUGGAUACUAAGUGUCGGCGGGGUACCGCCGGUGCCGCAGCUAACGCAUUAAGUAUCCCGCCU
rnacentral:rRNA from 1 species